rnacentral:rRNA from 1 species
CCUCCGGGGGGCAGCAGUGGGGAAUAUUGCACAAUGGGGGGAACCCUGAUGCAGCGACGCCGCGUGAAGGAAGAAGUAUUUCGGUAUGUAAACUUCUAUCAGCAGGGAAGAAAAUGACGGUAUCUGACUAAUAAGCCCCGGCUAACUACGUGCCAGCAGCCGCGGUAAUACGUAGGGGGCAAGCGUUAUCCGGAUUUACUGGGAGUAAAGGGCGCGUAGGCGGCAGAGCAAGUCAGAAGUGAAAGCCAAAGGCUCAACCAUAGAACUGCAUUUGAAACUGUACAGCUAGAUUACAGGAGAGGUAAGUGGAAUUCCUAGUGUAGCGGUGAAAUGCGUAGAUAUUAGGAGGAACACCAGUGGCGAAGGCGGCUUACUGGACUAUAAAUGACGCUGAGGCUCGAAAGCGUGGGGAGCAAACAGGAUUAGAUACCCGAGUAGUC